rnacentral:rRNA from 1 species
UACGUAGGGUGAGAGCGUUGUCCGGAAUUAUUGGGCGUAAAGGGCUCGUAGGCGGUCUGUCGCGUCGGGAGUGAAAACACGGGGCUUAACCCCGUGCCUGCUUCCGAUACGGGCUGACUAGAGGUAUGCAGGGGAGAACGGAAUUCCUGGUGUAGCGGUGAAAUGCGCAGAUAUCAGGAGGAACACCGGUGGCGAAGGCGGUUCUCUGGGCAUUACCUGACGCUGAGGAGCGAAAGUGUGGGGAGCAAACAGG